rnacentral:rRNA from 1 species
UACGUAGGCAGCAAGCGUUGUUCGGAAUUACUGGGCGUAAAGAGUGUGUAGGCGGUUUUCUAAGUUCGGUGUGAAAUCUCCCGGCUUAACUGGGAGGGUGCGCCGGAAACUGGAGGACUGGAGUGCCGGAGAGGAUAGCGGAAUUCCUGGUGUAGCGGUGAAAUGCGCAGAUAUCAGGAAGAACACCCGUGGCUAAGGCGGCUCUCUAGUACGGUACUGACGCUGAGACGCGAAAGCGUGGGGAGCGAACAGG